rnacentral:tRNA from 1 species
GGAAGGGUGGCUGAGCCCGGUUUAAGGCACUCGACUCGAAAUCGAACGUGGGGUUAAACCCACCGUGGGUUCGAAUCCCACCCCUUCCGCCA